AGUAGUUCAAUAUACAUCUUUCAUAUCCAAUUUAACAUUCAAAAUAGUUACAUCAAUUAAAGAAAUUUACUUAACAAAGUAAGGAAGAUCAAGAACAUAUAGGAGGAAAUAAGCCCAAGUGACACCAGAAAUUCCACCAAAAAAGAAUCCACCAGUGAAUUUAGCCCAUCCAUCUGCAGUUUGCAAUUGAUCUGGCACUUUUUUCCUGCCAGUCAAUGUCAAUGCUGGUGCUGUUGAUGGAUCUCCUUCUUUGAAUGAUGAAAUUCCAUAAAUUGUCAAACACAUGCUAAGGAUCACUACAAGUCCUGCUGCUGCCAAUGAACCAGCUCCCCCUGCAUACAAU